GAUGAACGCUGGCGGCGUGCUUAACACAUGCGAGUCGAACGGAAAGGCUCCUGCUUGCAGGGGUACUCGAGUGGCGAACGGGUGAGUAACACGUGGGUGAUCUGCCCUGCACUUCGGGAUAAGCCUGGGAAACUGGGUCUAAUACCGGAUAGGACCACAUUUUGGAUGGUGUGGUGGAAAGUUUUUCGGUGUGGGAUGAGCUCGCGGCCUAUCAGCUUGUUGGUGGGGUAAUGGCCUACCAAGGCGUCGACGGGUAGCCGGCCUGAGAGGGUGUACGGCCAAAUUGGGAAGGAGAAACGGCCCAGACGCCAACGGGGGGGAGAAGGGGGGAAUAUUGCACAAGGGGCGCAAGCUGGAUGCAGGGACGCCGGGUGGGGGAUGACGGCCUUCGGGUUGUAAACUCCUUUCGCUAGGGACGAAGCGAAAGGGACGGUACCUGGAGAAGAAGCACCGGAUAACUACGG
rnacentral:rRNA from 1 species